rnacentral:rRNA from 1 species
UACGUAGGGGGCAAGCGUUGUCCGGAUUUAUUGGGCGUAAAGAGCGUGUAGGCGGCUUUACAGGUCCGUUGUGAAAACUCGAGGCUCAACCUCGAGACGCCGGUGGAAACCGUAAAGCUAGAGUCCGGAAGAGGAGAGUGGAAUUCCUGGUGUAGCGGUGAAAUGCGCAGAUAUCAGGAAGAACACCCGUGGCGAAGGCGGCUCUCUGGGCCGGAACUGACGCUGAGGCGCGAAAGCGUGGGGAGCAAACAGG